rnacentral:rRNA from 1 species
GAAAGACUCUCGGCAACGGAUAUCUCGGCUCUUGCAUCGAUGAAGAACGUAGCGAAAUGCGAUACUUGGUGUGAAUUGCAGAAUCCCGUGAACCAUCGAGUCUUUGAACGCAAGUUGCGCCCGAAGCCAUUAGGCCGAGGGCACGCCUGCCUGGGUGUUGCA